rnacentral:rRNA from 1 species
GACGAACGCUGGCGGUGUGCUUAACACAUGCAAGUCGAACGGAAAGGCACUGCUUUUGUGGGGUGCUCGAGUGGCGAACGGGUGAGUAACACGUGAGUAACCUGCUCUAGACUUUGGGAUAACUUCAGGAAACUGGGGUUAAUAUCGGAUAGGAGCUCCUGUUGCAUGGUGGGGGGUGGAAAGUUGCGGCGGUUGGGGAUGGACGCGCGGCUUAUCAGCUUGUUGGUGGGGUAGUGGCUUACCAAGGCUUUGACGGGUAGCCGGCCUGAGAGGGUGACCGGCCACAUUGGUACUGAGAUACGGACCAGACUCCUACGGGAGGCAGCAGUGGGGAAUAUUGCACAAUGGGCGGAAGCCUGAUGCAGCAACGCCGCGUGCGGGAUGACGGCCUUCGGGUUGUAAACCGCUUUCGCCUGUGACGAAGCGUGAGUGACGGUAAUGAGUGAAGAAGCACCGGCUAACUACGUG